rnacentral:rRNA from 1 species
CCUACGGGAGGCAGCAGUGAGGAAUAUUGGUCAAUGGGCGAGAGCCUGAACCAGCCAUGUCGCGUGCAGGAUGAAGGCUCUAUGGUUUGUACACUUCUUUUAUACGGGGAUAAAGUUAGGAACGUGUUUCUAUUUGUAUGUACCAUACGAAUAAGCAUCGGCUAACUCCGUGCCAGCAGCCGCGGUAAUACGGAGGAUGCGAGCGUUAUCCGGAUUUAUUGGGUUUAAAGGGUGCGUAGGUGGAUAAAUAAGUCAGCGGUGAAAGUUUGUGGCUUAACCAUAAAAUUGCCUUUGAUACUGGUUAACUAGAGAAUAGUUGAGGUAGGCGGAAUGUGUGGUGUAGCGGUGAAAUGCAUAGAGAUCAUGCAGAACACCGAUUGCGAAGGCAGCUUACUAAUCUAUAUCUGACGCUGAGGCACGAAAGCGUGGGGAGCAAACAGGAUUAGAUACCCUUGUAGUC